rnacentral:rRNA from 1 species
ACAGGUGGUGCGAUGGUUGUCGUCAGCUCGUGUCGUGAGAUGUUGGGUUAAGUCCCGCAACGAGCGCAACCCUCGCCUCUAGUUGCCAGCAUUCGGUUGGGCACUCUAGAGGGACUGCCGGCGACAAGUCGGAGGAAGUGGGGAUGACGUCAAAUCAUCAUGCCCCUUAUGACCUGGGCUACACACGUGCUACAAUGGGCGGUACAAAGGGCUGCGAACCCGCGAGGGGGAGCGAAUCCCAAAAAGCCGCUCUCAGUUCGGAUUGCAGGCUGCAACUCGCCUGCAUGAAGCCGGAAUCGCUAGUAAUCGCGGAUCAGCAUGCCGCGGUGAAUACGUUCCCGGGCCUU